rnacentral:rRNA from 1 species
CUACAGGCCGCAGCAGGCGCGAAAACUUUCCAAUGCCUUAACGGGUGAGAAGGGAACCCUGAGUGAUUAUACAUAGUAUAAUCUUUUGUUUUGCCUAAAGAGCAAGACGAAUAAGUGGUGGGUAAGACGGGUGGCAGCCGCCGCGGUAAUACCCGCGCCACGAGUGGUGACCGCGAUUAUUGGGUCUAAAGCGUCCGUAGCCGGUUCAGUGAGUUCUUGGUGAAAUCUGCUAGCCAACUAGCAAGCUUGCUGAGAAUACUGCUAAACUUGGGAUUGGGAGAGGAUAGAGGUAUUCCAUGAGUAGGGGUUAAAUCCUUUAAUCCAUGGAGGACCACCGGUGGCGAAGGCGUCUAUCUAGAACAAGUCCGACGGUGAGGGACGAAAGCUAGGGGAGCAAACGGGAUUAGAUACCCUCGUAGUC